rnacentral:tRNA from 1 species
GUUCCUAUGGUUGAAGGACAACGGUGGUUUUUCAAGCCACAGGUCUUGGGUAAAGCCAAGUGGGAAUA